rnacentral:rRNA from 1 species
AUGGAUAUUCGUCGGGCGAAUCUGGUGGUAGCCUCAAACGAGCAGUCUCAGGCUCCCAACGGCGCGGAGAAGCUUUUUGGUGAUGUUCUUCAAGUUUUCUACCGUCCAGGAAUAGUCGAGCUGGAAAACGGGGCUUCGUUCUCUUUGAUUCAAUCUGAGACAGGUGCAGAUGCGGACCAACUCAGGACUGUUAUCGGAGCUCACGUCGCUAUGGGCAACCUUUUCACCACCAUUGAUGAUGACCAUUUCAAGUGCUCGUUCAACGGAUAA